rnacentral:rRNA from 1 species
GACGAACGCUGGCGGCGUGCUUAACACAUGCAAGUCGAACGGAAAGGCCCUGCUUUUGUGGGGUGCUCGAGUGGCGAACGGGUGAGUAACACGUGAGUAACCUGCCCUUGACUUUGGGAUAACUUCAGGAAACUGGGGCUAAUACCGGAUAGGAGCUCCUGCUGCAUGGUGGGGGUUGGAAAGUUUCGGCGGUUGGGGAUGGACUCGCGGCUUAUCAGCUUGUUGGUGGGGUAGUGGCUUACCAAGGCUUUGACGGGUAGCCGGCCUGGGAGGGUGACCGGCCACAAUGGGAAUGAGAAACGGCCCCGACUCCUACGGGGGGGAGGAGGGGGGAAUAUUGCACAAUGGGCGGAAGCCUGAUGCAGCGAAGCCGCGUGGGGGAUGACGGGCUUUGGGUUGUAAACCCCUUUCAGCCGGGAAGAAGGGAGAGUGACGGUAAAUGGUGAAAAAGCCCCGGCUAACUACGUG